CCUACGGGGGACAGCAGUCGAGAAUCAUUCACAAUGGGGGAAACCCUGAUGGUGCGACGCCGCGUGGGGUAAUGAAGGUCUUCGGGUUGUAAACCCCUGUCAUGUGGGAGCAAAUUAAAAAGAUAGUACCACAAGAGGAAGAGACGGCUAACUCUGUGCACGCAGCCGCGGUAAUACAGAGGUCUCAAGCGUUGUUCGGAAUCACUGGGGGUAAAUGGUUCGUAGGCUGUUUCGUACGUCGUGUGUGAAUGGCGCGGGGUCAAACCGCGGACGGCACAUGAUACUGCGAUGCUAGAGGGAAGGAGGGGUAACCGGAAUUCUCGGUGUAGCAGUGAAAUGCGUAGAUAUCGAGAGGAAAACUCGUGGCGAAGGCGGGUUCCUGGACAUUAACUGACGCUGAGGCACGAAGGCCAGGGGAGCGAAAGGGAUUAGAUACCCCAGUAGUC
rnacentral:rRNA from 1 species